CAGCAGCCGCGGUAGUACGUAGGUGGCAAGCGUUGUCCGGAAUUAUUGGGCGUAAAGGGCUCGCAGGCGGUUUCUUAAGUCUGAUGUGAAAGCCCCCGGCUCAACCGGGGAGGGUCAUUGGAAACUGGGAAACUUGAGUGCAGAAGAGGAGAGUGGAAUUCCACGUGUAGCGGUGAAAUGCGUAGAGAUGUGGAGGAACACCAGUGGCGAAGGCGACUCUCUGGUCUGUAACUGACGCUGAGGAGCGAAAGCGUGGGGAGCGAACAGGAUUAGAUACCCCAGUAGUCCCUGUCUCUUAUAC
rnacentral:rRNA from 1 species